rnacentral:piRNA from 1 species
GAGCUGGACUAAGGAUUCAUGAGGCCUU